ensembl:lncRNA
CUUCCUGUCUCUUCUCUACCUCCUGUUCUGCCAGGAUGUAAGGCAUCCUAGCCACACGUACUUGCCACCACAAAGCUGCCUGCCCUGCGCCUUUCCCCACCAUGAUGAACUGUAUCCUCAAGCAGGAAAAACAGCCACACAAAUCAUUAAUGUGAUAAUUGCCCUCAUAGUAACUCGGAACUGUCCUGUGAAAAACCACUUCAAAAUGCAAGCUAGGAAGAGAUGAGCCCUCUUGGAGGACAGUCAACCUUCUCUCCUUGUCUCAGUGCUGGGGAUUGAACUCAGGACCUGUGCAUAUGAAGCAAGUGCUCUAUCACUGAGCCACAUCCCAGUGGUCCCUGGGAGAUGCACCUGAGAGAUACCUGUGCUCUGUAACCACACUGUCAUUUGUCUUCCUCCCUGCAGCAGGCACUGUGUACAGACGCUGAGCUACCCUGGAAGGGCCAUGACAAAAAGACAAAUACCUCCAUCCUCACCAGGCUUGCAAUCCAUGGGUGAACUGACCUUCCUUGGAGAAUCACAGCAUUCACACUGUGGAAAGGACGGAGCCAGGAGGACUUCUCAGGAAAAGGGAGGGUUGAUCUGAGUCAGUGCCCCUGUCUCUAUCCCCACAUUUCUGGGAAGACCACACUCAUGGUCUGCAUAAUCUUCUUCUGCAUCCCUUACCCCCACCCCUGAGUCCUAGGUAUAUUCAGGAGGAGAACCUGGUGCUUGGAUGAAAGGUAUGCUUUUCCUGCAUGACUUCUCCCUGCACUUCCUCUGACGCAUGGCUCCCUCCAAGGUAUGCAUGGAUGAGGGCAAGGCCAGUCUCCAAGUCAGAAAUAGGAGCUAAAGAGAAGCCACAGAAGAAAAGGCAAAGGGUCAUUCCCAAUACCCAAGCUCUGCAAGGCUCAGAAGAGUGUGCCUGCUGGGCUUAUUGUGGGGGUGUAAAUGAGUUUCGGCCCACCCCCAUAGUCUUGAUAAUUUGCAUACUUGGUCCCUGGGCUAUAAUAUUAUCUGGGAAGACUUAGACACUAUGGCUUUGUUAGAGGAAGAAUGUCACUGCUGGCAAGCUUUGAGAGUCCAUAGUUGCACCACUUUUAGUUUUUUCUUUCUUUGUUGUGCUUGCAGUUCAAAAUGUGGGCCCUCGGCUUCCUGCUCCUGCUGCCAUGGCUUUGCCAUCCCUACCCCCAUCGUGGACUCUAACCCGCUAUAACCAUAAGCCCAAAUAAACUCUUGUUGCUUCAUUCGUAGUGCUUUAUCACAGCAACAGAAAAGUAAAUGAUACAUUUAUCAUUGGCAUUUGUAACCAGAGACCAAAUGUACAACCAAAGCCAAAGAAUCUGUUUCUCCCAAAGGACUGACAGCCACCAGGUCCAGGCUCACAGUCCGGAACUGUCUUGUAGCAAGCCAGCUAUUAGAACAAGCCACAUCCAAUUUGGUCUAUGUUAGAAACAAGAAGAAAUCAGAUUUAUCACCUCUGCUAAAGGAACUUGCCCCUGUAUAAACUGUUUCAACAGAAAUGUGUACUCCCUCCUAGCCUCUCUAUGCAAAUACAUAAUGCCAUCCACUGGUUGGAUUCUGAGUAUCAUGUUCCAAGAUCGUCUCCAUAAAGCUACAAUUCAAGCUCUCUGGAUCACAGAGCUGCUGCGAUUUCCACGUGGGCACGGAGGCAGCAGCUUGCUGCCAUAUGCUGUUUGGUAAAUGUCUGUACAUGACUCCAAACAAAACACCAUGCCAAGCUGGCCACAUGAACAGGCAUGCACGCUGCUCAUCUUAACUCAAUGCAUCCCACUUCCCAGAGAGAUACUGAGGGAACAACCAUACCUCACCAGAGAGAUGCUGCAGUGGGCAGCCAUCCCUCAUGAAUGCCUGAGGGUCACAGGCCUUUGGAAAUAAACAGGAAUGGACUUUAUCAGCCCAAUUUGUAUCUUGCAGCCAAAUGUAAUCCAUGUGCCAGGACAGUGCCCUUGCAUAGAGACAGAUGGCAUUUGUACUAAGAUUGUCACCACAAUGGGGUCCUAAUCAAGUGGCUUUUUUACCACCUCAAGAGUAAAAAAGAUCAGAGCUGAGGAUCCGAGGUGUCCUAUAGUGAGUAACCCAGAGGCAGAAGUGUGGGGUGUUCUGCCUGACCACUGGUGGGUUCAGAGGCCAGACUCCCUCCCACCUCCUCAUAGACAGUAUCAUCGGAAUCUUGUCAGCCACACAAUACCCUUAUCUUACUUCUUUUCAAGUCACCUGAUUACCCAGAGAAAAUAGAAACAGAGAGAAAAGAGCAUGUCCUUGCAGAAGCAGGAAUGUCAAGCUUGCUCUCGGACCUCCUCAGCCCUGUUCCUGGAGUCUGGAGGCAAUCUGCUUCUCUGAGGAGCCAUGGCCACCUGCCUCAGGGCUCAGAUCUCCUAUAGGGCUGGUCCCACUGCUACUGUGUACAUGUAUGAUUUCUUUGUUCCCUGAGUCCUGUCCCUAGGCCUCACAAAGAUGGCGUGGAAGCAGGCAUCUAGAGGAGCAGGUGCACCUCCCAUACUGCCCGUUUCACUCUGCUGUAGGCUCUGAUCCAGCAGGCAAGCUCUAACCUAGGCUUGGAUGGUUGCUUGGCACAAAAGCCAUUGGUUCUCCAAAGUCUACAACUGGGGCGCAGCAAGCUCAGCUCAUAAGGCAUCUUAGUGUGGCCUCACAUCCCUCCCUCACACCAGCGGCAAGCACGAGCUGGGGGUGUGUGGGGCUUGAAAGCAAAUCGCUGCUCCGAAUCCUCUGGGCUCAUUAUCCCGGGGAACAGUGGUAACAUAAUGCAUUUUCAUUUACUUAGCCUUAAAUAUAUGUAAAUUAAAGGGUUUUCUUUUAUUAAAAAUAACACUG